AGAGUUUGAUCAUGGCUCAGAUUGAACGCUGGCGGCAUGCUUUACACAUGCAAGUCGAGCGGCAACGCGGGACUCAGGCAACUGAGCCCUGGCGGCGAGCGGCGGACGGGUGAGUAAUGCAUCGGAACGUAUCCCGUAGUGGGGGACAACCCAGCGAAAGCUGGGCUAAUACCGCAUAUGCUCUACGGAGGAAAGUGGGGGACCUGCAAGGGCCUCACGCUAUGGGAGCGGCCGAUGUCCGAUUAGCUAGUUGGUGGGGUAAAGGCUUACCAAGGCGACGAUCGGUAGCUGGUCUGAGAGGAUGAUCAGCCACACUGGGACUGAGACACGGCCCAGACUCCUACGGGAGGCAGCAGUGGGGAAUUUUGGACAAUGGGGGCAACCCUGAUCCAGCCAUGCCGCGUGCGGGAAGAAGGCCUUCGGGUUGUAAACCGCUUUUGGUCGGGAAGAAAAGGCAGUCUCUAACAGGGGCUGUUCUUGACGGUACCGGCAGAAUAAGCACCGGCUAACUACGUGCCAGCAGCCGCGGUAAUACGUAGGGUGCGAGCGUUAAUCGGAAUUACUGGGCGUAAAGCGUGCGCAGGCGGUUUGUUAAGUCUGAUGUGAAAGCCCCGGGCUCAACCUGGGAAUGGCAUUGGAAAC
rnacentral:rRNA from 1 species